AUCCCAUGAUGAGGACAGGCUGAAAUGUAUUCUUGCAGCCUUUCCCAAGCUUCCGGGAUGGAUUCCAUCCCUAUCUGCUGGAAACUUGAAAUCUUCCCGCGCAGGGC